GUUUCUUCAGGUUCAUGGUACAGAAGAGGGAUCAGACUACCACUAGGGUCAUAAUGCUAAUUCUGGAAAUGUCCCGAACUCCUGCGAAAGCCUUGUCAAAUAUGUGAACUUAGGCGACGAAAUGUUUGGCAAUACGGCCCUAGGUGUCUAUAUAUAAAACUAAACAUCUAUAUAUUUUUUCAGCCAGUAGUUUUGUAGUGUUUCUAUAUGUCUUUAGAGUCUUAACAGUAUCUGGAGGCCUCACUAAUAUCACCAGAACAAAAGCUAUCCAUCUAUUUUUAAAACUAGGUGUCUAUAUAUAAAAGUAAACAUCUAUAUAUUUUUUCAACCAGUAGUUUUGCAGUGUUUAUAUAUGUAUUUAGAGUUUUAACAGUAUCUGGAGGCCUCACUUUUGGAACCAGAACAAAAGCUAUCCAUCUAUAUUUAAAACUAGGUGUCUAUAUAUAAAACUAAACAUCUAUAUAUUUUUUCAACCAGUAGUUUUGUAGUGUUUAUAUAUGUCUUUGAGUCUUAACAGUAUCUGGAGGCCUCACUUUUGGAACCAGAACAAAAGCUAUCCAUCUAUAUUUAAAACUAGGUGUCUAUAUAUAAAACUAAACAUCUAUAUAUUUUUCCAACCAGUAGUUUUGUAGUGUUUAUAUAUGUCUUUAGUCUUAACAGUAUCUGGAGGCCUCACUUUUGGAACCAGAACAAAAGCUAUCCAUCUAUAUUUAAAACUAGGUGUCUAUAUAUAAAAGUAAACAUCUAUAUAUUUUUUCAACCAGUAGUUUUGCAGUGUUUAUAUAUGUCUUUAGAGUCUUAACAGUAUCUGGAGGCCUCACUAAUAGCACCAGAACAAAAGCUAUCCAUCUAUUUUUAAAACUAGGUGUCUAUAUAUAAAAGUAAACAUCUAUAUAUUUUUUCAACCAGUAGUUUUGUAGUGUUUAUAUAUGUCUUUAGAGUCUUAACAGUAUCUGGAGGCCUCACUUUUAGCACCAGAACAAAAGCUACACAUCUAUAUUUAAACCUAAGCAUCUAUAUUUAAAUUUAUCUAUAUUUUUCCAAGCAGUAGUUCUGUAGUGUUAAUGUUCUUAGGUUUGUCAACAGCAUCUGGAGACCUUGUAUUGUCCAUAAGGUGACCACAGAGAGAAAACAGGCUAACGUGUGGGGUACUUUCGUAAUACUUAAAUUGAUAUAAAGCCUUCAAACCCACAUUGUCCUCUGUUCUGUCAGUCUGUUGUCUUGGGAUAUGGUCUUAAGUCUGUCAACAGCAUCUGGAGACCUUGUAUUGUCCGUAAGGUGACCACAGAGAGAAAACAGGCUAAUGUGUGGGGUAGUUUCGUAAUACUUAAAUUAAUAUAAAGCCUUCAGACCCACAUUGUGCCCUGUUCUGUCAGUCUGGUGUCUUGGGAUAUGGUCUUAAGCCUGUCAACAGCAUCUGGAGACCUUGUAUUGUCCGUAAGGUGACCACAGAGAGAAAACAGGCUAAUGUGUGGGGUAGUUUCGUAAUACUUAAAUUAAUAUAAAGCCUUCAGACCCACAUUGUGCCCUGUUCUGUCAGUCUGGUGUCUUGGGAUAUGGUCUUAAGUCUGUCAACAGCAUCUGGAGACCUUGUGUUGUCUGUAAGGUGACCACAGAGGGAAAACAGGCUAUGUGUGGGGUAGUUUCAUAAUACUUAAAUUGAUAUAAAGCCUUCAAACCCACAUUGUCCUCUGUUCUGUCAUUCUGGUGUCUGGGGAUAUGGUCUUAAGCCUGUCAACAGCAUCUGGAGACCUUGUGUUGUCUGUAAGGUGACCAGACAGGGGAGAGAUUACCAUGUGGAGUAGUUUCAACAUACUUAAAACAAUGUGAAGGCUUUGAACCCACAUUGUCCUCUGUUCUGAUGUCUGUGGGUACGUUUUUGGGCGUACUGACAGCAUAAGGAAGCUUUGGGUUGUCUGCAAGCUGACCAGACAGAGAACAGGUUACCAUGUGGAGUAGUUUCAGCAUACUUAAAACAAUGUGAAGGCUUUGAACCCACAUUGUCCUCUGUUCUGAUGUCUGUGGGUACGUUUUUGGGUGUACUGACAGCAUAAGGAAGCUUUGUGUUGUCUGUAAGGUGACCAGACAGGGGAGAGAUUACCAUGUGGAGUAGUUUCAGCAUACUUAACCAAUGUGAAGGCUUCUGAUCUUUAUUUUCUACUGGUGUGUCGUCUGUGGAUACGCUUUUGAGUGUUGUGACGGCAUUUGGAAGACUUGUGUUGUCUGUAAGGUGACCAGACAGGGGAGAGAUUACCAUGUGGAGUAGUUUCAACACACUUAAACCGAUGUAAAGGUGUCUGAUCCUUAUUUUCUAGUGGUGUGUCGUCUGUGGAUAUGUUUUUGAGUGUUGUGACAGCAUAAGGAAGCUUUGUGUUGUCUGUAAGGUGACCAGACAGGGGAGAGAUUACCAUGUGGAGUAGUUUCAACACACUUAAACCGAUGUGAAGGCGUCUGAUCUUUAUUUUCUACUGGUGUGUCGUCUGUGGAUGUGUUCUUGAGUGUUGUGAUGGCAUUAGGAAGCUUUGUGGUGACUAGUUCAAAUUAUGGUGCUGUUUUAAAAUUUGUAUUAGCUGUAUUAGGUGAACUUAAAAAUCAUGACAUUCUUGCAAUAUCUACUCUGUAUCCCAUGCAUUACUUAACAUGACAGUUUUACUACAUGAGGUUAGAUCUGAUAAUAAGAGUUGCUUUUGUAUUUCUCAAUGUCUUCAAGCAUUUCUUUAUUUUUUAUUUAUUUUGUAAGGCUGAUGUCCCAUGCACUCUUAUCCAGUUCUCUUACACAAUGGUUAGAUCUGAUAAUAAUAGUUGUUUUUGUAUUUCUCAAUGUCUUCAAGCAUUUCUUUAUUUUUUAUUUAUUUUAUAAGGCUGAUGUCCCAUACACUCUUAUUCAGUUCUCUUAUGCAAUGGUUAGGUCUGAUAAUAAUAGUUGUUUUUGUAUUUCUCAAUGUCUUCAAGCAUUUCUUUAUUUUUUAUUUCUUUUAUAAGGCUGAUGUCCCAUACACUCUUAUUCAGUUCUCUUACGCAAUGGUUAGGUUUGAUAAUAAUAGUUGUUUUUGUAUUUCUCAAUGUCUUCAAGCAUUUCUUUAUUUUUUAUUUAUUUUAUAAGGCUGAUGUCCCAUACACUCUUUUCCAGUUCUCUUUACAAUGGUUAGAUCUGAUAAUUAUAGUUUUCUUAAUGUUCUUUAUAUUUCUUAAUGUGUUCCUAAUUUCUUAACGUUUUCCUUACUUUGUUUUGUAAGAGUAAUGCCCCUGAACGUUUUUUAUACUUUUUAUACAAUGGUUACAUCUGACAAUAAUAGUUUUCUUAAUGUUUUUCUUUCUUUAUUUUUUGGUGAGUGUGUUUUUGAAGUUCUUGAUGCUUUGCUUAAUUUCAUCGGUAAAACUAACAUUCUAUAACCUCUUUCUUUUCCACUCAAUAAUACACAAGGAUUAGGUCUGACAAUAAUAGUUUUCUUAAUGUUUUUCUUUCUUUAUUUUUUUGUGAGUGUGUUCUUGAAGUUCUUGAUGCUUUGCUUAAUUUCAUCGGUAAAACUAACAUUCUAUAACCUCUUUCUUUUCCACUCAAUAAUACACAAGGAUUAGAUCUGACAAUAAUAGUUUUCUUAAUGCCUGUUUGUUCCUUCAUGUGUUCAUAUUGUUCUUCAUGGUCUAACGUCCCCUAACCUCUCUUUGUUAAGCUCCUUACACAAUGGUUAGAUCUGCUUAUACUAGUUUUCAUAAUAGUUUUUUUAUGUGUCUUGCUGUGUUUUCAAUGUUCUCUAUGUUUUCUGUAUUUCUUUUGUAAGGCUAAUGUCCUAUAACCUCAUUUUCUACUCCUUACACAAUGGUUAGGUCUGAUAAUACUAGUUUUCUUAAUAGUUUUCAAUGUUCUCUAUGUUUUCUGUAUUUCUUUUGUAAGGCUAAUGUCCUAUAACCUCAUUUUCUACUCCUUACACAAUGGUUAGGUCUGAUAAUACUAGUUUUCUUAAUGUUUUCUAUGUGUCUUGCUGUGUUUUCAAUGUUUUCUGUAUUUCUUUUGUAAGGCUAAUGUCCUAUAACCUCAUUUUCUACUCCUUACACAAUGGUUAGGUCUGAUAAUACUAGUUUUUUGUUUGUUUGUUCCUUCAUGUGUUGUUAAGUGUCCAUGUUUUUGUUUCUCCUGUAAAGCUUACGUCCCCAAACCUCUUCUCUUCAUAGCCUUCCGCUGAGGUGUUUCUGGCAGUGUGUUGCAGGUCACUACCCUCGUAUCAGCCACAGGAAGCUUGGCACACCAGGUUAGCGCGCACCAAAAUUACCUUUCAUUCAGUCAUUCAAGUUUAGUAGAUGUAGUUUGCAGACAAUUUCAGUAUCUUAUUUUCUUUUCCUGCCUUCCAUGAUUAGCAAAGUAGCCAGUUGUUAGAGUUGUAGAUCUCUUGUUUUUUGUAGUUUGCAGACAAUUUCAGUAUCUUAUUUUCUUUAUCUUUUCCUGCCUUCCAUGAUUAGCAAAGUAGCCAGUUGUUAGAGUUGUAGAUUUUUUCAGUAUCUCGUGUUUUUUGUAGUUUGCAGUGUAGCCAGAAACCAAGGGAGACAGUGUGCUGAAUAUGUUGAUCUGGUAACACUGAGAUCUAUAGAUGAUGCAAGGGUGCUGAGUACAAUGAUGUGGUAACACUGAGAUCUGUAGACAUCAUGAGGGUGCUGAAUAUGUUGAUCUGGUAACACUGAGCUCUAUAGAUGAUGCAAGGGUGCUGAGCAUGAUGAUGUGGUAACACUGAGAUCGAUAGACAUCAUGAGGGUGCUGAAUAUGUUGAUCUGGUAACACUGAGAUCUAUAGAUGAUGCAAGGGUGCUGAGUACGAUGAUGUGGCAACACUGGUAUUUCUAUAGGCGUGGCGAGGGUGAAGCAGUGUUGCCGAGGGUGUUUUAACCGUUGCAUUUAUGGGGAAACUGUUGAAUGGCUAAGUGUAAUUGCUUUCUGUCUGUCUGAUGUUUUUUUUCCCAUUUCAAGCUAAAAAAAAAAAAUGUUAUUACGUUUAUUAUUUCACAUCUUUCUUAUAGUGAUUAUUUUUAUUACUUAUGUUAUUACUUUUCUUACUUUUCAUUACUUCUUUUUACUUUUUAUUAUUAUUAUUAUUAUUUCAUUUAUUAUCUUUUAGCGUCGGUUCAUAAGUGGUCGCCUCGUGUGCCUGACGAACGAAGGAUCUUGUGUCGCUUAUACUCUGUUUAAUCUCACCUAUGAAUCUCUCUCUCUCUCUCUCUCUCUCUCUCUCUCUCUGGGUACUGUUAAGAGUUAAGAGUUUAUUUUGUUAUGGACUAAGAAUUUUAUAAGCGUCAGAACCACAGUUAUGGAUGUUACGAACCUGUUGUUGAGCUUCAGAACCUUUCGCUAAGCUUGUGAACGUUUUAAUGAGCUUACGAACGUGUUGGUAAGCUUAUGAAUGUUUUGGUAAGCUUAUGAAUGUUUUGGUAAGCUUAUGAAUGUUUUGGUAAGCUUACAAAUGUGUUGGUAAGCUUAUGAAUGUGUUGGUAAGCUUAUGAAUGUUUUGGUAAGCUUAUGAAUGUUUUGGUAAGCUUACGAAUGUGUUGGUAAGCUUAUGAAUGUUUUGGUAAGCUUAUGAAUGUUUUGGUAAGCUUAUGAAUGUGUUGGUAAGCUUAUGAAUCUCUUGUUAAGCUUAUGAAUGUUUUGGUAAGCUUACGAAUGUGUUGGUAAGCUUACGAAUAUCUUGUUAAGCUUAUGAAUGUUUUGGUAAGCUUACAAAUGUGUUGGUAAGCUUACGAAUGUUUUGGUAAGCUUAUGAAUGUGUUGGUAAGCUUACGAAUGUUUUGUUAAGCCUAUGAAUCUCUUGUUGAGCUUACGAAUGUAUUGGUAAGCUUACAAAUGAGUUGGUAAACCUAUGAAUCUCUUGUUAAGCUUACGAAUCAGUUGUUAAGCUUGUGAAUGUAUUAGUAAGUUUAAGAAUGUGUUGGUAAGCUUACAAAUGAGUUGAUAAGCCUAUGAAUCACUUGUUAAGCUUGCAAACCAGUUGAUAAGCUUACGGACCUCUCGCCAAGCUUACGGAAGAGUUGUUAUAAUCGCACAGAGUAUUCAGACUAGUAUUUUUAUAAUCACAUGAAUGGACUGUAUAAUCACACAUGAAUGGACAGGUUGUUAUAGACCCACAAACUGUUAUAUUAUCAAACGAGAAAGUCUUUGAUUCUACGGAGCUGUUUCCCACGCACCGAUCAGCUGUUACGACGCACAGACUAGUUUUAGUAAUACAGUCGCCCCUCAAAUAGUACGGUUCCGGUUUUAUGUGUAUUUUCAUGGAGGAUUUUUUUUAGGAUUUUUAAAUUUCCCAGCGAGCAGAAAAUUUUAAAGUCCUAAAAAUAUCUUCCGUGACAAUCCGUAUAAAACUGAAACUGAACUAUUGAAAACCGUGCUAUUUGAGGGGUGACUGUACCUCAAACCUUACCUCCCUGUCUCUCCAAGUCCUUCCAUUGUUUCUUUUCUUCCGAGUGUUACGAGCACACGAAUUCAAGUCUUUUACAACAAACUUAAGCACAUAGGAAUAGUUAACAUAAGUACAGAAUUGGAGGGUGUGAGGCUGGUUCAAGUGCCUGAGUCUAUGUGCUUCUGAGUGUUACGAGCACACGAAUUCAAGUCUUUUACAGCAAACUUAAGCACAUAGGAAUAGUUAACAUAAGUACAGAAUUGGAGGGUGUGAGGCUGGUUCAAGUGCCUGAGUCUAUGUGCUUCUGAGUGUUACGAGCACACAAAUUCAAGGAUUUUAGAACAAACUUAAGCACAUAGGAAUAGUUAACAUAAAUAG